CAGUCGACGGGAGAAUUGCUAGCUUGCUAAUAAUUCUCUAGUGGCGCACGGGUGAGUAACACGUGAGUAACCUGCCCCCAAGAGUGGGAUAGCCCCGGGAAACUGGGAUUAAUACCGCAUAAAAUCGCAAGAUUAAAGCAGCAAUGCGCUUGGGGAUGGGCUCGCGUCCUAUUAGUUAGUUGGUGAGGUAACGGCUCACCAAGGCGAUGACGGGUAGCCGGUCUGAGAGGAUGUCCGGCCACACUGGAACUGAGACACGGUCCAGACACCUACGGGUGGCAGCAGUCGAGAAUCAUUCACAAUGGGGGAAACCCUGAUGGUGCGACGCCGCGUGGGGGAAUGAAGGUCUUCGGAUUGUAAACCCCUGUCAUGUGGGAGCAAAUUAAAAAGAUAGUACCACAAGAGGAAGAGACGGCUAACUCUGUGCCAGCAGCCGCGGUAAUACAGAGGUCUCAAGCGUUGUUCGGAAUCACUGGGCGUAAAGCGUGCGUAGGCGGUUUCGUAAGUCGUGUGUGAAAGGCGGGGGCUCAACCCCCGGACUGCACAUGAUACUGCGAGACUAGAGUAAUGGAGGGGGAACCGGAAUUCUCGGUGUAGCAGUGAAAUGCGUAGAUAUCGAGAGGAACACUCGUGGCGAAGGCGGGUUCCUGGACAUUAACUGACGCUGAGGCACGAAGGCCAGGGGAGCGAAAGGGAUUAGAUACCCCUGUAGUCCUGGCAGUAAACGGUGCACGCUUGGUGUGCGGG
rnacentral:rRNA from 1 species